rnacentral:rRNA from 1 species
GAUGAACGCUGGCGGCGUGCCUAAUACAUGCAAGUCGAGCGAACAGACGAGUAGCUUGCUCCUCUGACGUUAGCGGCGGACGGGUGAGUAACACGUGGAUAACCUACCUAUAAGACUGGGAUAACUUCGGGAAACCGGAGCUAAUACCGGAUAAUAUAUUGAACCGCAUGGUUCAAUAGUGAAAGACGGUUUUGCUGUCACUUAUAGAUGGAUCCGCGCCGCAUUAGCUAGUUGGUAAGGUAACGGCUUACCAAGGCGACGAUGCGUAGCCGACCUGAGAGGGUGAUCGGACACACUGGAAGUGAGACACGGUCCAGACUCCUACGGGAGGCAGCAGUAGGGAAUCUUCCGCAAUGGGCGAAAGCCUGACGGAGCAACGCCGCGUGAGUGAUGAAGGUCUUCGGAUCGUAAAACUCUGUUAUUAGGGAAGAACAAAUGUGUAAGUAACUAUGCACGUCUUGACGGUACCUAAUCAGAAAGCCACGGCUAACUACGUG